AUAAUUCUGCAUCCAUUCUUGGCCUCUUGGUGUAUCUCUUCUCCAAAGUUCGGCAUAGGAGUCCAGAUAAAGUGCUGGAGACCUUCUUCACACUCUUUCAACACAGAAAUGGUACCACUGGAAUAGAUAUGCUCAGACUGAAGAGGAGAGGAAGGAGAGGCAUUUAAAGAAGGGUCCAUUUCUUUCCUUUUACUCAAGUAUAUCAUUAAGAUGAGAAUCUCUUCAGGGCAACAACUGCAUUCCAUUUUGGGGACCCAACUUUCUAAAUGUUCUCAUUAUGAUUCCAAUAAUGCAAGGUCCAGAACUGUUGACAACUGUCAGGAACCUGUCAGGGAUCCACUUAAUAAUUGUGUAUUCUUGGGUGAGUCAUUUAAUCUCAUGGGGUCUCAAAAUCUUUUUGUAUGGGAUAGGCUAACAAUAUGGAUUCCAAGACCUGACUGA
rnacentral:lncRNA from 1 species